GGGGCUUGUGAGGGGGGUCGGUCAAUCCUGCCAGUCAAGGGGUCAGGGGUUCGAAUCCCCUCAGCUCCA
rnacentral:tRNA from 1 species